GGAAGGAGAGACAGGGCGGGGCUGUGGGGGUUUGAUCAUCUGAACACUGCCUUUGAGAGGUUUACAGGACAUCCUUCAAUGUCCUGAGUGUGCUUGAGCAGAAGUCAUGCUUUCUGUGGCAGAAAGAUGAGCAAGGCCAGGGAUGGGCAGUGGUACAAGAUGAAUGAUGCCUCAAGACUUCUCUCUGCCAAAAUACAUACUUAGUUUUCUAUGCCAGGUAGGAGCAAGUGUGAAAGGAUAUACAGAAUAUACUCUCUCUUGUGUUACUGAUCCUGUUGCUGUCUUCUCUGAUGGGUUUUGCUUUUUGUCAUAGGAGAGAAUGGCUGUUUGUCCAGGUAAGUUCUUUCUGUCUUGCAGUUGACAGGCCAUUUCUUCUCCCUUGCUGUCUGGCACUGAACUGGGCUUGU